GUUAAUGUAGCUUAAUAACAAAGCA
rnacentral:piRNA from 1 species